GCCCCUUUCUGUUUCCACUUCUGUAUUUCUUCAGGGGCAACUGUAGCCUGUUGUUCCAGCAGGAUUUUCAGGUCAGUUGGAAGAGUCUGCAGAGUAAAUAUGGGAGUUUCUUCAUUUCCGGACACUCUUCUUUCCACUUCCUGUGGUUCUUGUGCAGCUUGUUUUGCAGCCUGAUCAGCUAGAUGGUUGCCUUUUGCUUCAUCUGAGUCCAACUUCCCAUGUGCUUUUAUCUUCAAAAUAGCCACUUCUUCUGGGAGUAGGAGGGCGUCCAUCAGCUCCUUGAUCGCGGAACCGUGCUUGAUUGGUGUACCGGCGGUGGUAAGAAAUCCUCUUGUUUUCCAAAUUAAUCCAAAGUCGUG